rnacentral:rRNA from 1 species
UACGUAGGGCGCAAGCGUUAUCCGGAAUUAUUGGGCGUAAAGAGCUCGUAGGCGGUUCGUCGCGUCGGCUGUGAAAAACCCGGAGCUCAACUCCGGGCCUGCAGUCGAUACGGGGCAGACUAGAGGUAUGCAGGGGAGAACGGAAUUCCUGGUGUAGCGGUGAAAUGCGCAGAUAUCAGGAGGAACACCGGUGGCGAAGGCGGUUCUCUGGGCAUUACCUGACGCUGAGGAGCGAAAGUGUGGGGAGCGAACAGG